GAUGAACGCUAGCGACAGGCUUAACACAUGCAAGUCGAGGGCGAGCGGGGAGUAAGCUUGCUUAUUCCUGCCGGCGACCGGCGCACGGGUGAGUAACACGUAUGCAACCUGCCCUUGGCACGGGGGAUAACCCGGAGAAAUCCGGACUAAUACCGCGUAACACCCUUGGGGGACAUCCCCCGGGGGUCAAAGGAAGCAAUUCCGGCCAAGGAUGGGGAUGCGUCUGAUUAGCUUGUUGGCGGGGUAACGCCCACCAAGGCAACGAUCAGUAGGGGUUCUGAGAGGAAGGUCCCCCACAUUGGAACUGAGACACGGUCCAAACUCCUACGGGAGGCAGCAGUGAGGAAUAUUGGUCAAUGGGCGCAAGCCUGAACCAGCCAAGUAGCGUGAGGGAAGACUGCCCUACGGGUUGUAAACCUCUUUUGUUUGGGAAUAAAGUGCGGGACGUGUCCCGCAUUGCAUGUACCAUUUGAAUAAGGACCGGCUAAUUCCGUG
rnacentral:rRNA from 1 species